CUUGUACUUCCUCCGUCCGAAAAUACUUGUCAUCAAAAUGGAUAAAAAAAGAUGUAUCUAGAACUAAAAUACGUCUAGAUACAUCCCCUUUUAUUCAUUUUGAGGACAAGUAUUUUUGAACGGAGGGAGUAUUUU
rfam:Triticum aestivum genome assembly, contig: Triticum_aestivum_CS42_TGACv1_scaffold_159729_2DL